GACGAACGCUGGCGGCGUGCUUAACACAUGCAAGUCGAACGGAAAGGCCCUGCUUGCAGGGUGCUCGAGUGGCGAACGGGUGAGUAACACGUGGGUGAUCUGCCCCUUACUUUGGGUUAAGCCUGGGAAACUGGGUCUAAUACUGGAUAGGACCAUGCUGUAGGUGGUGUGGUGGAAAGAUUAGUUUCGGUAAGGGAUGAGCUCGCGGCCUAUCAGCUUGUUGGUGGGGUAAUGGCCUACCAAGGCGUCGACGGGUAGCCGGCCUGAGAGGGUGGACGGCCACAUUGGGACUGAGAUACGGCCCAGACUCCUACGGGAGGCAGCAGUGGGGAAUAUUGCACAAUGGGCGCAAGCCUGAUGCAGCGACGCCGCGUGGGGGAUGACGGCCUUCGGGUUGUAAACUCCUUUCAGCCAUGACGAAGCCCUUGUGGUGACGGUAGUGGUAGAAGAAGCACCGGCUAACUACGUG
rnacentral:rRNA from 1 species